rnacentral:rRNA from 1 species
AUGUAGAGUUUUAUCCUGGCUCAGAGCGAACGCUGGCGGCAGGCCUAACACAUGCAAGUCGAACGAACUCUUCGCAGUUAGUGGCGGACGGGUGAGUAACACGUGGGAACGUGCCUUUAGGUUCGGAAUAACUCAGGGAAACGUGUGCUAAUACCGAAUGUGCCCUUAGGGGCAAAGAUUUAUCGCCUUUAGAGCGGCCCGCGUCUGAUUAGCUUGUUGGUGGGGUAAUGGCCCACCAAGGCUACGAUCAGUACCUGGUCUGAGAGGAUGACCAGCCACACUGGGACUGAGACACGGCCCAAACUCUUACGGGAGGCAGCAGUGGGGAAUCUUGCGCAAUGGGCGAAAGCCUGAGCAGCCAUGCCGCGUGAAUGAUGAAGGUCUUAGGAUUGUAAAAUACUUUCACCGGUGAAGAUAAUGACGGUACUUGCAGAAUAAGCACC